UACGGAGGGUGCGAGCGUUGAUCGGAAUAACUGGGCGUAAAGGGCGCGCAGGCGGGUUGUUAAGUGAGAUGUGAAAUCCCCGGGCUUAACCUGGGAAGAGCAUUUGAGACUGGGAGACUAGAGUACUUUAGGGAGGGGUAGAAUUCCCGGUGUAGAGGUGAAAUUCGUAGAGAUGGGGAGGAAUACCGAAGGCGAAGGCAGCCCCUUGGGAAUAUACUGACGCUCAUGUGCGAAAGCGUGGGGAGCAAACAGG
rnacentral:rRNA from 1 species